rnacentral:rRNA from 1 species
CGGUGAAGAUAAUGACGGUAACCGUAGAAGAAGCCCCGGCUAACUUCGUGCCAGCAGCCGCGGUAAUACGAAGGGGGCUAGCGUUGUUCGGAAUUACUGGGCGUAAAGCGCACGUAGGCGGAUUGUUAAGUUAGGGGUGAAAUCCCGGGGCUCAACCUCGGAACUGCCUUUAAUACUGGCAAUCUAGAGAUCUAGAGAGGUGAGUGGAAUUCCGAGUGUAGAGGUGAAAUUCGUAGAUAUUCGGAGGAACACCAGUGGCGAAGCGGCUCACUGGCUAGAUACUGACGCUGAGGUGCGAAAGUGUGGGGAGCA